rnacentral:tRNA from 1 species
AGGAUAAUAGUUAAUUAUAACAUUUAAUUUGCACUUAAAAAAUAUUGAUUUAUUCAAUUUAUCUUA